rnacentral:snRNA from 1 species
GGAUGUGAGGGUGAUCUGGCUGCGGCGCCUGUCACCCCAUUGAGUGCCAGGGUUGAUUUGGCUGAUCUGGCGGACUAGGCACGUGUCCCCUUCCUCCCUCGCUGCCCCAUAUGCAUUCCUCCUGAAGCUGUACGUUUGGUUUAAGAGGACAACCAUCCCAGCUAGAGGAGGACUGGUCCCCGGUCGAGGGUAUAUGAGUAGCUGCAGUCCCCUGCUAGAACUUUCAAACAAGCUCUCAAGGUCCACUUGUAGGAGAACGUAGGGUAGUCAAGCUUCCAAGACUUCAGACACAUCCAAAUGAGGUGCUGCAUGUGGCAGUCUGCCUUUCUUA